rnacentral:rRNA from 1 species
AGCGAACGCUGGCGGCAGGCUUAACACAUGCAAGUCGAGCGGGCACUUCGGUGUCAGCGGCAGACGGGUGAGUAACACGUGGGAACGUACCCUUCGGUUCGGAAUAACGCUGGGAAACUAGCGCUAAUACCGGAUACGCCCUUUUGGGGAAGGGUUUACUGCCGAAGGAUCGGCCCGCGUCUGAUUAGCUAGUUGGUGGGGUAAUGGCCUACCAAGGCGACGAUCAGUAGCUGGUCUGAGAGGAUGAUCAGCCACACUGGGACUGAGACACGGCCCAGACUCCUACGGGAGGCAGCAGUGGGGAAUAUUGGACAAUGGGCGCAAGCCUGAUCCAGCCAUGCCGCGUGAGUGAUGAAGGCCUUAGGGUUGUAAAGCUCUUUUGUCCGGGACGAUAAUGACGGUACCGGAAGAAUAAGCCCCGGCUAACUUCGUG